GGGAGUGUUUGGGGUGGAGGGAAACAAAUGACUUGUCUUUUUAGUAUACAGGUAUCUGACUCAAAAGGGAUCCACUGAAGAAGCUUUAGCCACAUCCAGACUGUUACACUUAAGAUACUGGACUUUUGAGUCUGAAGAUAAAACUUCUGGGGAUCUUGGGAGGUGGAGAAACCCAAGACCAUGUGACCAAGCCCAAGCCCACAUGGAAGACAACCAAGAAGAAACUAGGCACCCCAGGCAACCAGCUUCCUAACUGUCACACAUGGACAGUCCUCCAGCCCUAGUCAAAAUGCCAGCCAACUGCAGCAAAAUGUGUGGUCCCAGCAGAAUGCCAGACAGCAAGACCAGGUGAAACCUGCAAAACCUACCUGUGCCUGCCCAAACUACAAGCCUACCAAAUUCUGUGCUAAUAAGUGAUUUUAAGCCAUUGAUGUUUAGGGUUGUCUAUUAUGCAGCAAAGGCUGAUAUGCUGAUAGAGGAA